UACGUAGGGCGCGAGCGUUGUCCGGAUUUAUUGGGCGUAAAGAGCUCGUAGGCGGCUUGUUGCGUCGACCGUGAAAACCCGUGGCUCAACUGCGGGCUUGCGGUCGAUACGGGCAGGCUAGAGUUCGGUAGGGGAGACUGGAAUUCCUGGUGUAGCGGUGAAAUGCGCAGAUAUCAGGAGGAACACCGGUGGCGAAGGCGGGUCUCUGGGCCGAUACUGACGCUGAGGAGCGAAAGCGUGGGGAGCGAACAGG
rnacentral:rRNA from 1 species